AGCUUCCAAGAGUGUGUCCUGUGGUCCUGUGCAGCAUGACCAUGAGCAGCUCAUGAGCAGCACCCUGCAGAAGAGAAUCAAGGUUUUCAAGAGUGUGUCCUGUGGUCCUGAGCAGCAUGAGCAGCUCCUGAGCGGCAGCCUGCAGAAGAAAAACAUGGCUUCCAAGGGUGUGUCCUGUGGUCCUGUGCAGCAUGACCAUGAACAGCUCCUGGGUUUUCUUUCUGAAAACCACAUCUCCCAGGUGGAGCCCCAGAGUGAAAAUACCCCUAUGUGCAGCUCAUCCAUCCAGGAUACACCAUCUACAAGGAGCUCCAAAGAGGGCCCUCAGGAUGUGACCACCACAGACACUCAUCCCAAGGACAGGAGCUUGUCCCCCCAGGAAACAUCUGAACCAAACCUCACCAGUGCCCAACCCCAGAGAAUGACCACAGCCUUUCCUCACAAUCUAUGGGGUGGAUGGAAGAGGGUGAAGAGGAGAAUUGUGAAGUGUUUACGGAGAUUAUGCUGCUGUUUGCCAGCCCAAAGGAGAAGCUGCACUUCCCAGAGGAGAGUGGCUCCACUGGAAGGAGGGGACAGUGGAGUCACAUAGAACCAGGUGGAGGGGGAAGAGUGGAGUCACACAAAACCAGGACAGUGCCAGCGAGCUGGAGAAGAAUGCGUGUCACUUUGGCUGGACUCCUGAGAUGGUGCUCCACUUUGAAGAGAUGCUCCAGAAAGCCUGCCUGAGCAGAUUGCAAAAGUGUCUCAGCGGAGCCUUGAGAAAUGAAUGCUCAUCUGUGCCAGGCAGCUGGGCUGAAUCUCUUGAGAAGGGCAAUGACCAUGGACCCCCACCCCCUGUGCCAGGUCACUGCUAAUGUGAAGGUACUAUUGGACCAUCUCUCCCUGCCCACAUUAAAAAAAAAAAAAAGGCCCUGCUGGACACAGACCAACCUCAUGGUCACAGAAAAUACGCUAUUACUUUCAAGCCAGGCUGGACAACUCCCUGCUUCUGCCUAGCAGUAUAGGUCAAGAGGAAGCAGGGUUGGAUCUCAGAACGGGCCUAACACCUAACAACAGCUUAGGAGAGCAACCAGUAGAGAAUGUCCUGAAUCCAUGACUCCAGAUGCCAGAGGCCUAUUUUCCAGAGGAGCUCACAGAGAUGGGCAGAGAGAAGUUUGCAGAUUAACAGGCAUCACUCAGGGAUCAAAGAAAACCGUCAUCAGUGGUUAGUCUAAACAGUAGGACAAAGAUGGAGCAUGCCCUGGUGUGUUCUAUCGAUUGUAUCAGCAUCACUGUGUCCCAGUGUCGGACUGUGGCUUGUGUGCUUUCUGCUUUUGAGGAUUUCCUUCAGCACAUUAUGAAGAAGAACCUGUAUUCACAGUCGUUCCAGUGGACUACAAGGAGAGAGCAAUCCAUCGUGACUCAUUCCUCUGCUUGUGUUCAUUGGGAAUUUUAUUCCUGUCCUCAGGUGUGAAGAGGAUGACACCACUGCUUAGUGAUGAAGCUUUUCUCUUUAGCCCUCAUAGGCUUUUACAAGCACACGACCAGGAUUAGUGUUGUUGGAGUGAAUUAAGACGGAGGACAUGCCAGGAGUGGACUGCAGCAUGAGGACUAUACUAUACCACUGAGAUGAGGGUGGGCAUCAAACACUGUGAGCGCUGUCUUAACCACUCCAGUUGAUUAAAUGAGGUCAAAGACCACAGGUUUGCCCACAAAGCAUCUCUAGUGAUGUUUCAGCUGAGGAUUCAGCAAAUGGCCCACAGUCUCGGCACAGAUUCAAUACAGACUGAGGGGCCUUAAGAAAACCCCAGGAGGUGUCUUGAUAGCCAGUUCUCACUGAAGUUACCCUCUGCCCCGAGCCUCCCGUGAGACCCACAUCUGGCUAAUGCUUAACUUGAGCAGACUUAGCCAGGCUAGCUGGUGUCUUGGGUCUUUGGUCAUAAUGGUCAAGAGCCCACAAACAAGGACUUCUCACCAAUCCUCCCAGUGCACAUAAGGCUUGAAGAGCUUCCUUCAACUGAGGAUUAUCAUAAACGUGAUGCUUUCCUAGCUGGGCUUGGCAGUAUAGGUGUAGUCCUAUCCGUGAUGAAUAUGGGAGGUUCCGGGCUAAAACAGGAGGAUUGUCAGCUCAACCCUGCUUGGGCCACAGUGAAUUCAGGGCCAGCCUGCACAACAUAGCAUAGCACUAUCUAAACUAAAAUGUAUAAGGAGGACUGGAGAUGCAGCUCAGUGGCAGAAUGCUUGCCUGGCCUGUGGAUGUUCUGGUCUCGAUCCCAGCAAAGGAAAUGGACAUCAACAGGGCUUCCUGGAAGCAGGGCCUCCUGUCGCUGUCGGAGGGCAUAGCAUGCGAAUGAUUGCAAGUUGAGGUCCAGUUGAUGCUGUCAGCUGAACACUUCCCAGCUGACUGUGGCUUUUCCCCUGGAAGCCAGAUCUUGCUGUCAAACCACACAUUCAAAAAGGCCCAACCCCUGAGAACUGGGCUAGCCUUGGCACCUGUGCCAUGAAGGAAGCAGAAGAAGCUCCCCGAGAAAAAUGCAAUCUACAGGCUAAUUCUAGAGACUGGAAUCUUAGUAGAAGAUUCUGGGAGCCUCACCAGCCAGUGCAUGAUGUCUGUAUACUUCUGCAUGGCUUCAGGAAGGAUCUCUGAGUGUCUUGGUCUCUGGUGACUGCUGAUAUCUGGAGGCAAGCAGGCUCAAAGCAACUGCACUCGUGACCAUGGACUGAAACUACUGAAACUGUGAGCUCAAACCAACCCUCCUUGCAAGUUGAUUUUCUCAGGGACUUAUUCACAGAGCUGCAGAGCUAACAGGCACCUUCUUGUGCCUUGCCAAGCUGCCACUCCACUUGGUGCAUCAUGUGGUACUACUGUUUCUCAUAAUAAAGUGGUUGAGAUGGAGGCAAUCCUCAUGGCCAGCCCCAUGAAGAGGGCAUCCUUCAAAAUGAUUACAAAAUCUACUGUCCCUGGGCUGUGGCACAUUUUGGAAGGCAAAGCUGGUGUGCCGCAUUCUCACACAUACACAAGUAACUGUCGAGGCCCUUGAAAAAAGCAACAAUGACUUGUUGGCAUCACCUCUGAAGCAGAAUUCAUAAAUCCUUAGAACAUUAUAAAAAUUUUUAUAUGAUCAAUAUACCAUUAACCACUUAUAUGACAAUGGAAUGUGUGGUGGCAGAAGACCCAGAGAGGUGCCUAAGGGAGCUGGGCUGUAUACAAGGGCAGGCACUACAAAGUUUCCAACAGGUCAUGUCAGUGGUUCACUUCCUCCACCAAAGACACAUCCACGGGAAUAUCAAAUUAGGAAAACAUUCUGGUGGAUGCAGUAGGAAAUGCAGAAAUUUGCCACUUCAGCAUGGCAGCUAAAUCCACAAAGGGCAGAUGUUGGGGAAGGUCUGUAGCUUCCUGCUCUACCUGGCCCCAGAUAUCUUGGCAGGAAAACUGUGUAACAGCCGUGCAGCUGAUGUGGAGCUUGGGCAUCCUUCUCUGUGUCAUAGAGCACUUUCCAUACUUAGAAACAAGUCCUUCAGGUAUACACCAGCUCAUCACCAACACAAUGUAUUAUCUUCCCUGUCAUCUGUCCCAAACCAACCAAAUUAUUAUCGAAAGAUUAUAUUGGUACAUGAUAGUAGGUCAUCUCAUGGAACACCUAACAUGCCUAACACCCAGGGCUGCCUUGAGAAGAUGCCCUGCCUGGGUACCACAGACAUGGAAGGCAAUGUGACGACUGUUGACAUCAAUAGCAAUUUUCUGAGGGGUAUUGCAGUUACCAAGGCUUUGAGUGAUACUCUACCUGAUGAGCACUUCCUACCAGAGUCAGCCCCGGAUGCAACAACCACAGAGUUAAAUGAAAAAAAACCAAAAAACAAAAAACAAGGGCUUGUGCCCUGUAGAAUCAUCAACAGGGCCAGCCAUGCCCAGUGACCAGGCCAGGUUGAAUCUACAGGCUCUGGAUCCAAGUAACUAGGGCUGGAAGGGGACGAGGAGUCGAAUUACUCGAGUACGAGAACACUUUGCUGCUGCCUGCCCACCCAAAGCGGUGAAGGGGAGAGGCCUGGGUGAACUGCACUCCCGGUGUGGAUGGACCCCACAGGAGGAAGCAGCCCAGAACUCCAGUGUGCUGGCCCACACACAGGGCACAGGCUCCUGCAGCCAUCCUCCAGCCCUUGGGUCUUUGCUUCCAGCUCCCUGCUUGCUUGCUCAGCCCAGCACUGCUUGCAACACAGAUAGGAGGUCUCGCGUGACAUCUGCCUGAUGAAGGUCCACCUCCCCAGCUCCUGCAGAACACCUACUUCUGGAAGCAAAACUGACUGACAUACAGGUCUCGAGCUUCUCAUCUGCUUGGUCCCUUCAUCCCUUCAAUCUUCUCUCUCACUAACUCCUUUGGGACAGAAAUGGAUAAUCUAAGUGUGAGUCCAGUCAGAGGAGGGAAGGGAAAGACGGGCAUAAAGAAAUAGAGGAGAAGAGGGGAAAGGGGUGAGUUGAAGGGAAUUGGGGAGGGAGUAGAGUCUGUCCUGAGGAAACUCCUAUCACGGAGGUGAGGAGAAAGGACUGAGUGUUGGGUUGGGGCAGAAUGUAGGAAGACAGGAGCAAACUUCAGCCUGAAGAGUGGAGUUGGAGGGUGCAAGCUGUGCCCCCCCCCCCCCCGGGAAGAGGCCCUGAUUGGAGAGUCCCAGCAUGUGCCAAGGCACACAAGUAUGAUGCUGGCUUGGAAAUCUGCUCCUGUCUUAGGUUGCUGAGUCAGGGUAUGGUGGGAGAGAAAGGAAGCCUCAUCCACCAGUGGAGACCCAUCCUCCUCCUGUGUACUCAGGCGUUUGGACUGAUCUGUCAACAUCUCUUUGUCCUCCAGACCUCCCAUGGCAGAUCCUGAUAUGCCAAAAAAGCCUGGGACCAGAGGGCCAGAGUGGAAAGCCUGAUGACAGACCAGAUAGAUGGUUUUCCCCUCACCAAACCUCAAAGCCAGUUAGUGGCACCUUUCCCUCUGGGUCGGGGAGGCCUGCAUAAACCACUGUUCCCUUUUACUCACCCGGGCUAGUGUUAUGUCAAGACCAGACUUUAGAAACUCAUCUUUUACCACAAGCAGAUACUCAGUGGACUCAAAAUUACCUCCAAGUGCAAGAUGCCCUCAGAUGCUCCAGAAAACCUCCCUGAAGAAGCUCAGACUUGUCCCUUCAUGACCAGCAUAGGAUGAUGUGAGAAGCCUCUAGAGUUUGAUUUUCUUCCCUGAAGAUCCUUUCUUGUGGUGCUGCCCUUAUAGAGAAGUCAAAUUUGAUUCUUGGAAAUCAAAUUUGAAAUGUGUCUGUCAAGGAGCAGCACUUGGCUUUAUGCUGCUAAGAGUGUGCCCCGUCCUGCACAUCCUCAUCCAGAAUGUGGAAUUACCUUCAGAGCCUCUGGAAAGGAGUCAUCAUGACUUUGACCCUGAAUGGGAAGGGCAAAAGGAUGCUAGAAUUGAGUUUAAAAUGUACAAAGGUCAAGGUUCUUCAGUACCUGCUUUAAAAGCUAGACAAGCUCAGUCAUUAUGGAGAGGGACCCACUUCUCCUGAGUGGCUGCGUCAACAAGCUCCGUGGCAGCAAGUGAAUCCUCUGAAAAUUAAGUUUGCACCGAAAGACGAGAUGGCCCAUUUGCAGACACAGAUGGGCAGUGUUCGUCCUCGGGGUUGGAAGGCGGCCCCACAUCGGCUAGAUGGCCUUCUGUACUAAGCACCAGUCCCAGGCCCACCAGAACCAGGUGGUAUUCCCAAUCCACCCACAGCCCACGCAAGCCCAGACACAAGAAAUUAGCCAUCAUAAUAUUCUCUAUAUAUAUUUCUCUGGUGGUUUUGUGUCUUUAAAAAAUAUGUUUUUUUAUUUGUAUACCUCAGAAAUUAUCAAGUAUCUUUACAUUAAAAUAGGAAACUAGCUCAUGUA